CAGUGCUGAUACUCUGGGCUGUCCCUGCCGCAGCAGUGGCUAACAAUUAUCCAUUCCAAGAUUUAGAGCCGGACGUAUCCAGCUUCCAAGACCCUAUGAAGGUUGCAAACAGUACCAGCACUGUUUAUCUUUCGCAUCUUUCCCGUGUACUUGAAGCUCCUCGAAGGACGGAGAUGCCAUGUGUGCGAUCUCGGUAUUUGGGACAAGGCACAAACAAUACAGUUCAUCGGACUCUCGAUGUUUAUUCAAAGAAAAAAAGGUCCCAAACGUUGCCCAGUUCACGAAUCAUUGAGCAGAGGGACAGCGAAGGAGUGAAAGCAAACAAACACAUGAAGCUCCCAUCACAGUAAGUCAUAAAUUUCGCGUAUAUGAGGUCACAAUAAUGACCCUUCUGUCCCAGUAAAAUAAUUGAAGAUCAUUCACGCCAGCCAUCACCAUAGAGAGUGACCAACCGCGACUGCCUACCUAGGAGCCACUCACAGCGACCGCUGUUCGUAUUACGUUGUCCGAUUGGCGCGUUUCCACACCGAGAUUUUUCACGAUCGGCACCGUUCUUUUUGGCAUUCCUCGGUGUCACCCGUGCAUGAGGUUUGGAGAACGCCGAAGCAUUUCUUACGAGUUUUUAAUAGCACAGCUGUUUAAGCCUGCCGUAAAACCUCUGGAGUCCGCACAAAACCACCGGUGAG